AUCAAAUUAGCAAAAUUUUUAAUGCUGCUGACUUAGGAUCAGUGAUUAUAGGUGAGAAUCCUUUAUUUGAUA
rnacentral:tRNA from 2 species